rnacentral:tRNA from 1 species
AGUCAGGAUGGCCGAGUGGUCUAAGGCGCCAGACUCAAGUUCUAGUCUUCGAGAGAGGGCGUGGGUUCAAAUCCCACUUCUGACACG